GACGAACGCUGGCGGCGUGCUUAACACAUGCAAGUCGAACGGAAAGGCCCUGCUUUUGUGGGGUGCUUGAGUGGCGAACGGGUGAGUAACACGUGAGUAACCUGCCCUUUACUUUGGGAUAACUUCAGGAAACUGGGGCUAAUACCGGAUAGGAGCUCCUUCUGCAUGGUGGGUGUUGGAAAGUUUCGGCGGUUGGGGAUGGACUCGCGGCUUAUCAGCUUGUUGGUGGGGUAGUGGCUUACCAAGGCUUUGACGGGUAGCCGGCCUGAGAGGGUGACCGGCCACAUUGGGACUGAGAUACGGCCCAGACUCCUACGGGAGGCAGAAGUGGGGAAUAUUGCACAAUGGGCGGAAGCCUGAUGCAGCAACGCCGCGUGCGGGAUGACGGCCUUCGGGUUGUAAACCGCUUUCGCCUGUGACGAAGCGUGAGUGACGGUAAUGGGUAAAGAAGCACCGGCUAACUACGUG
rnacentral:rRNA from 1 species